rnacentral:rRNA from 1 species
UACGAAGGGGGCUAGCGUUGUUCGGAAUUACUGGGCGUAAAGCGAGUGUAGGCGGUUGCCCAAGUCAGGUGUGAAAGCCUUGAGCUCAACUCAAGAAAUGCACUUGGUACUGGGUGGCUAGAGGACCGGAGAGGAUAGUGGAAUUCCCAGUGUAGUGGUGAGAUACGUAGAGAUUGGGAAGAACACCAGUGGCGAAGGCGGCUAUCUGGACGGUUACUGACGCUAAGACUCGAAAGCGUGGGGAGCAAACAGG